rnacentral:rRNA from 1 species
GGGGAAUAUUGCACAAUGGGGGAAACCCUGAUGCAGCAACGCCGCGUGAGUGAUGAAGGCCUUCGGGUUGUAAAGCUCUGUCUUCAGGGAAGAUAAUGACGGUACCUGAGGAGGAAGCCACGGCUAACUACGUGCCAGCAGCCGCGGUAAUACGUAGGUGGCAAGCGUUGUCCGGAUUUAUUGGGUUUAAAGGGAGCGUAGGUGGAUAUUUAAGUGGGAUGUGAAAUACUCGGGCUUAACCUGGGUGCUGCAUUCCAAACUGGAUAUCUAGAGUGCAGGAGAGGAGAGUAGAAUUCCUAGUGUAGCGGUGAAAUGCGUAGAGAUUAGGAAGAAUGCCAGUGGCGAAGGCGACUUUCUGGACUGUAACUGACACUGAGGCUCGAAAGCGUGGGGAGCAAAC